rnacentral:rRNA from 1 species
AUGCUUGAGAAGGUAGAUUUAUUUGAGGAUGCAACUCGGCUUCUCCUCCUCCACAUCAUUGCAAAUUCCUUCUGGUCUUUAAAUAACAAAGGGUGGCCUCCCAAAAGAAAUCCAGAGAAGGAACAGUUGCUUGCAGAAGCCAAAGAGAUGGCGAAGAAGGUCUCUGAUUGCUUCUACUCCUUUGUUUGCCUGGAAGCUGAUGCACUAUCGGAUGUGAUUAAAUCUCUUCCCGAUUUAACUUGCACUUUGCUUGAGGGCAAAAAAUGUGGAAAUUUGUUUGUUGAAUAUAUCGCUUCCCGUUCGAUCAUUGAUGUUCAUCUUCAGUCUCGAACCUCUGGCUACAAUUUACACAUAGGGCCAGGAUCUGAAGAUGAAAAUGGUUGUAAUGAUCUGCUGGCUUCUAACCAGAUGUCACCCCAGACUCUGUUUUAUGUCUGGAAUCACUGGAAGUCAAUCAUACUCAAAGUACUAUCUCAUUUUCGCCACACUGAUGGUCCAGAAUUAAAUGAUUGCACAGUUAUGUAUGAAGAUCUUUUCACCAAGUACUUUGGAUUGAGAAAAGAUGACGAAGGUGACAGAUAUGUGGUGCUUAACAUGAAUGCAAGUUGGCUUUCUAAUGCUGGCAGAAGUUCUUUGCAGCAAGAUGGCAACAGAAGUUUACUGGAUGCCCCUCAGUGUCAUUCGUGUGCUCAGUAUUUCUGGAUGAAUGAGCUGUCUUCUGUUGGUUUCAGUGUACUUAAGAAGUUGGAGUCAUUUGUUCAAAUUACUCCAAAGCCAGAAUCUUUGUAUACCCUGGUGAGAACUAAAGUUAUUAUAAAUGAGAUAGCAAAGUUUUUGAAAGAACCACAGUUCAGUGUGCCAAAAAUGAAGUUAAGAAGCUUCUUUAUUCUCUGCCAGCAUCGCUUCUUUGAGCUAUUUUUUCUUGCGUGGAGAGAUGGGACAACAAGUAGCCUCUUGCAUAUACUUGACUCACCAGCUGCAUAUGGAUUGAUUGCUGAUUCUCUUAGUGCACAUCUUCGGCGAACAGAUAAAAAUCUGACUCAUGGGCAUCUUGGGAGAACGACCAUGCUUCUGCUUCAUGCAGCGCGACUGGAUGACGCGCUACUUUCAAGACUACUACAUUACCUGGACAAUAAUUCUGAGUGGGCAGAUUUUUAUCGAUGUUUGAAGGGAUUUCUUGAUGCUGAUAUUUCAAGACCUCCCUUGAUAUUGAACUUUAAGCGUGCUCUUGAUUUUACCUUCAGUGGUGUGAUGCAGAGGGAUGAACUGGACAAUAUAUCCCCAAUAUGCUAUGUGGGUCUGAUGGAGUGCCUUGGUUUCAUGGCUUCAUCAUACUUUCUACAGAAAGGUUGUAUAUACUGCACGAAGUCUCUGUUGGUCAAUAUGCUAGAGUGCCGUACUAGCAAGGUUUACCUUGAUACCUGCCUGACACCUAAUCCGAGCCCAGAUUACCAUCUUGAUUGUUUGGCACGCUCAUCAGGGCGUUUCAUAUUUGAGACAAUUAUGACUAUGUUGACAGACAAGGAUAUGCUCUUGCAGUGGGUACAGAAGACAUCAACUCCUAGUUCAUACUCUGAAGUCCUCCUGAGACUAGUGGUCACACUUUAUCCACUGAUCCUAACUCAGCGGAAUUGUUAUGAAGUCACAAAUACUCUUGUGCGGUGCGGAGUCUUUGAGGAUUUACCUUUGGAGUUCUCUCAGAAGAUGGUCCGUGUUUUGCAAGUAAAUUAUCGCACGCCGAACAACUUCACAAGAGUGCUUGCUGAUGCACUGGACGCAGUUGGAGAUCCUAUGGUAGUUAUGGUGGGCUCACCCAAAGUCCCAGCAAUCUGUCAAAACAUAAAGGCUUAUAUGAUUAUUAAGGAGGAUUUGCAUGAUGUUCCGAAGAUAAUGGCUCUUCUUCGUUCUGAAGAGCCAAGUUGUGUAAAUCAGGCUGCACUGCCAAAAAAAUCUGCUGGCAUCGAAAACAUUCCUAAGGCUGUAAAAGAUACUAAUAAGGUGAAGAGUACAAGUGAAAUAGAUUCAAGUGACGAGAAUGCUCCCUUCUGGGAUGAGUUUGAGACGUUUCAGGUCAACAAGCAAGGCCAGAAAGAUGCAAGGGUUACUAUUCAGUUCCUUAGAAGUUCCGUUCGAUGGCUGGAGCAAACAGGCUUUGAAGAAAAGAUUGAUGCACAAUUGUUGGAAGAGGUCAGGCACAUCUGCAGUCAGUUCGGAGAACGUUCCGCCAGGACGGAGAAGACAUCUUGUCUGACUGUGGAGGAUCUAUACUCAAUGCGGCAAGAUGGUGAGAAGAAACUGCAGACGAUCAUCAGCUUCCUGCGUUCCGAAAGGCCGGCCACGAAGGAAGAUUAUGGGAGGAACGAAGUCCAGUGGCAGGCUGAUGAGGCAGACGAAUGGACUGAAUGCUCAGACAGCGAGACCGAUGUCCAGUCGCAGACGGACGAACCAGAGGAAUGGACUGGGUGCUCAGGCAAUGAGGCGGAAUGGGUGAAGGAGGAGGAAGCGGCGGCACAAAAGGCGGCUCGGAGGACGAAGAGCAACAAGAAACCCAAAGAACCGCACAAAGGCCGUUUCAAGAAGUGA